AUACGGAGGAUGCAAGCGUUAUCCGGAUUUAUUGGGUUUAAAGGGUGCGUAGGCGGAUGAUUAAGCGUGAGGUGAAAUGCCACUGCUCAACAGUGGAACUGCCUCGCGAACUGGUUGUCUUGAAUGCUCCUGCCGUGGGAGGAAUGUGUGGUGUAGCGGUGAAAUGCAUAGAGAUCACACAGAACACCGAUUGCGAAGGCAUCUCACGAAGGGGUGAUUGACGCUGAGGCACGAAAGCGUGGGGAUCAAACAGGAUUAGAUACCCUGGUAGUCCACGCAGUAAACGAUGAUAACUAACCGCUGGGUCGUAGUGAUUCAGUGGCCAAGCGAAAGCGAUAAGUUAUCCACCUGGGGAGUACGACCGCAAGGUUAAAACUCAAAGGAAUUGACGGGG
rnacentral:rRNA from 1 species